GAUGAAGAACGUAGCGAAAUGCGAUAAGUAAUGUGAAUUGCAGAAUUCAGUGAAUCAUCGAAUCUUUGAACGCGCAUUGCGCCCCCCAGUAUUCUGGCGGGCAUGCCUGUUCGAGCGUCAUUUCAACCAUCAAGCCCUGCUUGUGUUGGGGUCCUGCGGCUGCCCGCAGGCCCUGAAAACCAGUGGCGGGCUCGCUAGUCACACCGAGCGCAGUAGCACAUCUCGCUCAGGGCGUGCGGCGGGCUCCAGCCGUUAAAGCACCCACCUUUCGCAAGGUUGACCUCGGAUCAGGUAGGAAUACCCGCUGAACUUAAGCAUAUCAAUAAGCGGAGGA
rnacentral:misc_RNA from 1 species